ACUCCUACGGGAGGCGGCAGUGGGGAAUAUUGGACAAUGGGCGAAAGCCUGAUCCAGCCAUGCCGCGUGUGUGAAGAAGGUCUUCGGAUUGUAAAGCACUUUAAGUUGGGAGGAAGGGUUGUAGUUUAAUACGCUGCAAUCUUGACGUUACCAACAGAAUAAGCACCGGCUAACUCUGUGCCAGCAGCCGCGGUAAUA
rnacentral:rRNA from 1 species